UGCAGGUGGAAGGUUUGGUAAUCUUCUCUGCCUCAUAAGCAGAUGAAAAUAGGUUCGAUUCCUAUACCUGCGACCA
rnacentral:tRNA from 1 species